rnacentral:rRNA from 1 species
UACGAAGGGGGCUAGCGUUGCUCGGAAUCACUGGGCGUAAAGGGUGCGUAGGCGGGUCUUUAAGUCAGGGGUGAAAUCCUGGAGCUCAACUCCAGAACUGCCUUUGAUACUGAGACUCUGAGUUCGGGAGAGGUGAGUGGAACUGCGAGUGUAGAGGUGAAAUUCGUAGAUAUUCGCAAGAACACCAGUGGCGAAGGCGGACU